rnacentral:rRNA from 1 species
GUAGUCCACGCUGUAAACGAUGUGCACUAGGCGUAGGUAACAUUAGUUAUCUGUGCCGCAGCGAACGCGAUAAGUGCACCGCCUGGGGAGUAUGCUCGCAAGGGUGAAACUCAAAGGAAUUGACGGGGGCCCGCACAAGCGGUGGAGUAUGUGGUUUAAUUCGAUGAUACGCGAGGAACCUUACCAGGGUUUGACAUGUACAUGGAAGUUUUAGAGAUAAAGCUGUCUGGUUUACCAGACGUGUACACAGGUGCUGCAUGGUUGUCGUCAGCUCGUGUCGUGAGAUGUUGGGUUAAGUCCCGCAACGAGCGCAACCCCUACUGUCUGUUACCAUCAGGUAAUGCUGGGGACUCUGACAGGACUGCCGGUGACAAACCGGAGGAAGGUGGGGAUGACGUCAAAUCAUCAUGGCCCUUAUGUCCUGGGCUACACACGUACUACAAUGGCUGGUACAAAGCGUCGCGAAGCGGCAACGCCGAGCUAAUCGCAAAAAACCAGUCUCAGUUCGGAUUGGAGUCUGAAACUCGACUCCAUGAAGUUGGAAUCGCUAGUAAUCGCAUAUCAGCAUGAUGCGGUGAAUACGUUCCCGGGCCUUGUACACACCGCCCGUCACACCACCCGAGUCGGAUGUACCCGAAGUCAUUGGUCUAACUAGCAAUAGAGGACGGUGCCGAAGGUAUGCCUGGUAAGGGGGGUG